rnacentral:rRNA from 1 species
UACAGAGGUCCCAAGCGUUGUUCGGAAUUACUGGGCGUAAAGCGUGUGUAGGCGGCAAGGCAAGUCGGAUGUGAAAUCCCGUGGCUCAACCAUGGACGUGCACUCGAAACUGCCUAGCUAGAGUCUCGGAGAGGAGGGUGGAAUGCUUGGUGUAGAGGUGAAAUUCGUAGAUAUCGAGAGGAACACCGGUGGCGAAGGCGGCCUUCUGGACAGUGACUGACGCUGAGACGCGAAAGCGUGGGGAGCAAACAGG